rnacentral:rRNA from 1 species
GACUUCAGCCUCACCAUUCUGUACACAUCUGAUCUUGUCUGAUUUCGGAAGCUAAGAAGGGUAAGAACUGGGGAGCACUUGUAUGGAAAGCAACAAGGGAAUACCAGAAAUUUCCAGUCA